rnacentral:snRNA from 3 species
AUACCUUUCUCGGCCUUUUGGCUAAGAUCAAGUGUAGUAUCUGUUCUUAUCAGUUUAAUAUCUGAUAUGUGGGCCAUGUGCCUAUAACAAUAUUAAAUUUAUUUUUUGUGGGAAAGGCCCACCACAUUGGCUUGCCAAUGGGGCCCUCGUGUGUCGCCCAGGCGUUCCACUGCUGCCUGGGCCCGGCGCACCCCAA